UACGUAGGGGGCGAGCGUUGUCCGGAGUUAUUGGGCGUAAAGAGCUCGUAGGCGGCUCGUCGCGUCGACCGUGAAAACCAGCAGCUUAACUGCUGGCUUGCGGUUGAUACGGGCGGGCUAGAGUUCGGUAGGGGAGACUGGAAUUCCUGGUGUAGCGGUGAAAUGCGCAGAUAUCAGGAGGAACACCAACGGCGAAGGCAGCUCUCUGGGACGUUACUGACGCUGAGGCACGAAGGCCAGGGGAGCAAACGGG
rnacentral:rRNA from 1 species